GUUUCCGGUUUACUAUUUCUGCUUUGACAUUUGUGAUUUCCCUCCCUCAAAGUACUUUGGGCUUAGUUCGCUCUUUUUUUUUUUUUUUUUUUUUUUUUUAAUUUCCUCGAGGUACAGAGUGAGGUGGUUUUACACCCAACGUGGGGCUCGAACUUAAAACCCAAGACCAAGCGCUGUAUGCCCCGCCGACUGAGCCACCAGCCGCGACAUCUUUCCUUUUUCUCAAGGGGUGUUCACGACUGUGUUGUUCAGUCUGCCGGCCUUUGCGAAUUUUCCUGCUGUUACACGUUUCACGACAUGGUGGUCAGAAAAGCUACUCGGUCUGAGGUCAGUCCUUGUAAAUCUGUUAAGACGUGUUUGGGGACCCAACCUGUGAUGCUUCCUGGUGAGU
rnacentral:lncRNA from 1 species